AAAUCAAUAUCUACUCACUGAUCAACCAGGGAUUAUUGUGGCAGCUGUGUGGAGGAAGAUGGCUGAUUCUGAUCAUCUAAAUAAUUAUAUUAUGAAUUUAUUAGUACUAACUCAAAUCAAGAAUUUAAAGAGGCAAUGAUACCCUAAUUUAUGCUGAAAAUCCGGCAGAGUUUUCUCUACACUUAGGACCUACAUAACCUGCAAAGUAGUUUAAACAACACUUCUAAGACCACAAGCCUUGAGCCCAUGUAUUAUCCACAUCACGUGGCCCCUCCUAGGCCCGCUAAACCAGACCAAACUCAAGCAUUCAGAUAAUUUAGCUAUAAUCCCUAAAACUAACAUUCUUUAAAAAUAAUCCAAACUAACUCUAAAAAAAAUUUUAAAAUUAUGCCUCGUAGUUCACAACCAUGUUAUAACACUAUUACAAAAGGAAUUACAAUUUUCUAAUUACCCAUGAAUAU
rnacentral:misc_RNA from 1 species